rnacentral:rRNA from 1 species
CCUACGGGUUGCAGCAGUGGGGAAUAUUGCACAAUGGGCGCAAGCCUGAUGCAGCCAUGCCGCGUGUAUGAAGAAGGCGCUAGGGUUGUAAAGUACUUUCAGUCGGGAGGAAGGCGUUGAUGCUAAUAUCAUCAACGAUUGACGUUACCGACAGAAGAAGCACCGGCUAACUCCGUGCCAGCAGCCGCGGUAAUACGGAGGCUGCAAGCGUUAAUCGGAAUUACUGGGCGUAAAGCGCACGCAGGCGGUUGAUUAAGUUAGAUGCGAAAUCCCCGGGCUUAACCUGGGAAUGGCAUCUAAGACUGGUCAGCUAGAGACUUGUAGAGGGGGGUAGAAUUCCAUGUGUAGCGGUGAAAUGCGUAGAGAUGUGGAGGAAUACCAGUGGCGAAGGCGGCCCCCUGGACAAAGACUGACGCUCAAGUGCGAAAGCGUGGGGAGCAAACAGGAUUAGAUACCCGCGUAGUC